rnacentral:misc_RNA from 1 species
CUUCUUUCUUCCUCCCGUAUAUUUCGCCACUGUUCUUGCCCUUUCGUUUUUUCACGCCGGCCCCUCUUGUGUCACCGGUGCGUUCAAAACGAAUCUCGCGAUUUUCCAUUGAUUCAUCCCCGUCAUCAAAAAGUAUACGAUGUCGCUAUAUGUACUUACUUUCGUGAAAGAAUAUCUCGUGUGAAUGCACUUUGUACACCAAACAAUACGUCUCGAUUGUUGACUGAAAACGUACCGCUGAAAUUAUUGUGCAAUCGAUCGUGGAUUAAUCCGAUAAUCGCGUCGUUUUUAUCGAGCAUAAAAAAGCAGUAUGUUCCCAUGUAAAUAUUAACAAAUGGUACAAUUCAUCUACGCAGUCUACACUGUACAAUUUAGGAAUGAUCAAUACAGUAAAAUAAAAAGACACACAACUUAAUGGAAGCUGAAAUCAGUAAUCUCCUCGCACUACUUCGUAAUCAUCUAUUAUUAUAACGCUAUUUGUUACAUAAAGUUUGAUGUAAAAUUUUCUUAAUAAAUCUAUUUAACGAGUAUUAAUUAGCACUACAAAUUGUUUUCCUUGGACCACUAAUUCUAUCCUUGCUACAGUGGAUGUAAGGGCAGUAAUAGUAAUUUAAUUGAUCAUCGCCAUUCGAUGUUCUAUGUAUGUAUACCAGAGAAAGAUACUUAGUUAUAGAACAAAUAUAUAUGAUAUAAUAAAAAAUAUAAAUAAAUUUUUAAGAACAAAUCUUCAAAUAUGUGUCAUUAGUAGAACUUAUAAUACUCCUCUCAAUAGAAUUAUGUAGAAAAUUUUAUUAUUCUAAUGCUCUCAUUGAUUUAAAUAUUAUAAUAUUUUGCUCUUAUGUAGCAAUGUAUUGAAGUAAGGAUGUAUUAGUUGUAUUAUUUCGUUAUAUGCUAUUGAAUUACGUUGAAAGUUUGGCAUGUUAUCUAUGUUAAUACCGUUAUCCGGGUGGAGUCCUAAUUUUUCAUCACAAAGUAAAUAAAAUCUUAAUAUAAGAAUGCAAACAGAUAAUUGGAUUUUUAAAGUUUGAUAACUGGCUGCCAAAAGAGGGCAUUAUAGAGGUGUCUUAAACAUUACAAUUAGUUCUUACUGAUAAUUUCAGUGGCCACAUAGUUAUUCCAUAAAAUAUUCUUAAAAUGUAUAAUUCUAUGUACACUUUCAUAAAAUAAUAUUAAUUUAAUAUAUAAGUUUUAUAUUAUAGUACUGCGUGAUGUAUUACAAUAUAUUAUUUAAUUACUUAAAUAUUUCAUUUGAUUAUUAAUGAUGUGUAUUCGUACAUGGGAUAUGGGAGAAAAAUCCCAUAUUACAAACAAUGAAUGUUGGCACAGACAGUGGCUGGGUUAAGGCACUUUGGGGUGCUUAAUUUUCCACAGUACCCUCCA